rnacentral:tRNA from 1 species
GCUGGGGUGGCGGAAUUGGCAGACGCGCUGGUUUCAGGUACCAGUGUCCGUAAGGACUUGGGGGUUCGAGUCCCCCCCCCAGCACCA